ensembl:lncRNA
AAUUGAGGUGUCUCACUGAGUUCUAAGUGUAUAUUAUGGGUGGUGGACUUUAUAGGUUAUGGGUUAUCAGAGAUAAUAUUUGCAGAUAUUUGUUUGUGGUUUAUCUCUUUUCCUAAAAAAAUGUCUUUCGAAGUACAGAAGUUGAUUUUAUGAGGUCCACUUGAUCCGUUUUUUCCUACACCACAGCCACAGCCACACAGGAUCCAAGCUGCAUCUGUGACCCACACCACAGCUCAUGGCAACACUGGAUCCCCGACCCACUGAGGGAGGCCAAGAUCAAACCCACAACCCCAUGGUUCCUAGUCGGAUUCGUUUCCAGUGCGCCCCGACCAGAACUCCUCUCUUAGCAUGGGGGACGGGGUAGUUUUUAGCGUAUGAAUCUUACAGUAGGUUUGAUAAAGUGAUUUCUGAGUAUUUUAUUUGUCUUGAUGUCGUGGUGAGUGGAACUGGUGUGAUUUUGUUUUCAGGUUGGCUUUAGCCUGUGUAAUCCCAACAGAUUUCUCCGGCUCAGCUUCUUAAUUCCCGGUGUGUGUGUAUCUGACUCCUUAGGCCACACACAGGAUCACACUGUCUGUGCAUAAGGACGUGGUUUUUCCCUUUUUUGGCCGCCCCGCCGCACAGGGAUCAGAUCGGAGCCCUAGUUGUGACCUAAGCCAGAGCUGCAGCACCACCAGAGCCUUACCCACUGCACCUCAGUGCUCCCAAGAGGCCAUCAGUCCCGUUGCCACCCAGCGGGGACCCUGUGCAUGUGGAGACGCCUUUCGUCUGCACGAGCUUCCCUGCACACCCCGUGGGCCACUGCCAAGGGCCAAGAGCAGGGAGCCUACACUCCUUCCCCAGCGCUGAGGAUGCGGGCUUGUCUUCACAGCUGCCGUCGCAGGCAGGAGGAGGCUCCCGACCAGAGAUGGCCCUCUCCUGUCCCCGCGGUGGUGCCUGUGUCAGGGUGCAGGGCAAAGGGGAAUGAGGCUGCUCCUCCGCCGACCUCCAGACGGUGAGGGUGACCUGGACUUUGCGGGGGGUCUCCGUGUAAUUACAGGGGUCCCUAAAAGUGGAAGGGGGGAGGGCAGCAUGAGGCAGGGAGGGGAGGCUGCGACCCCUAGUUGCUGAGUUUUGCAAAGGGAGGGCGGUGGGGAGCCUCCAGCAGUGGGAAAGGCCGGGGACAGAGUUUGGCCCCAGAGCCCCCCAAGGAACAGCUCUGCUGACCCUGCAGUGCAGGGAGGCUGCUGUCAGCCUCGACCUCCAGAACGGCCAGGGGCUACGUUCGUGUUGUAGUAACUGAUUUCGGAAUGAUUUGACAGAGCAGCCAUUUGGAAAUUAGUAGAUGUUCUUUUAAUGUUGUGGCUGCACUCAGGGCAUGUGGAGGUUUCGGGGCCAGGGAUUGAAUCCCAGCCACAGCUGCCUGUGACCUACACCGCGACCAUGGCAACGCCAGAUCCUUUAACCUACUGAGCAGGGCUGGGAAUCCAUCCACCCCUCACCUUGGCAGUGACCUGAGCUGCUGCACUUGGAUUUUUUUGUUGUUGUUGUUCUUUUUAGGGCUGCACCCACGGCAUAUGGAGAUUCCCAGGCUAGGGGUCGAAAUCAGCUACAGCAGCUGGCCUACACCACGGCUCACAGCAACACCAGAUCCUUAACCCACCAAGCGAGGCCAGGGAUCGAACUUGCGUCAUAAUGGAUGCUGGCCAGUUUCAUUCACCACUGAGCUACAGCGGGAACUCCUGUUGACAUUUUUUAUAACAAACGGGUGUGGAAAUUUUUUUUGCCACAUCCACAGCAUGUGGAAUCCAUUUCCAGGCCCAGGAUUGAACCCGUGCCAUGGCAGCCACAACACCAUAUCCUUAACCUGAUGCACCACAAGGGAGCUCCUGGGUGUGGGGUUUGGUCAAAUGUUUUCCUGCAUCCAUUGAGAUUAUCGUGUGGGUUUUGUCCUUUAUUUGAUGGUUUAUUGUUAAUUGAUUUUUAGAUGUUGAACCAACUUUGUAUUCCUGUGAUAAAUCUCGCCUAUGGAAGGUCCCAGGCCAGGGAUUGAACCUGAGCCACAGCAGGAUCAGUCCUUAACCUGCUGCGCCACAAGGGAGCUCGUGGUACUGACAUUUGAGGGAUUUUGUGCUCAUGAAGGACACCGGUCGCUGGCUCUCCGUUUGGGAUCAGGCUCACACCAGCCUCACACAGUGAGUGGGGACGUGUUCCCUCCUGUAUUUUCUGGAACCGCUUGUGAAGGGUGUUACUGAGAGAAUGUAUUUGUGAAGCCGUGUGGACCUAAGGUUUCUUUUUGCCUCGGAAACUAAGACGUUUUAGUUGAAGCUGAAGGCGUGUGCUCAUCUCACCUUCCCUGGAGGUGUGCCCGGGCCUUGGUAGGGCCUGCUUCUUCCUCUGUGGUGGAUACUGAUGUCUCCUCUCGCAGUCGUGAUUUUGGUCAUUUGUGUCAUCUUGUUGGUCAGGGUUUUUUUCUGUUUUCCAUUUCACUGAUCUCCCUGCUCAUCACUCAUUUCUUUGCUUCUGCUUCCUUUGCUUUUGUCUGCUCCUCUUUAGUGUUUAAGGUAGAGCCCCUGGGUUUGCUUGGAGCCUUUCUUCUUACACAGAAGCACCGUAUAAGCCGCACUGCUCAGCUGCAGCCCAGACGUGGGGAUGCUAUGUGUUCAUUGUCACCUUUGUGACGCACACUCUUUACAUGUUAACUUGCUUCCCAGUGUCUGGGGUUUUCCAGACUUCGUUUUGUUAUAAAUAUCUAAUUCCACUGGAGCUUGAAAUUAUACACAGUAUGUUCUAGCUUUAAAAAUUUGUUGUGGGAGUUCCCGUCGUGGCUCAGUGGUUAACGAACCCGACGAGGAACCAUGAGGUUGCGGGUUCAACCCCUGGCUUUGCUCAGUGGGUUAAGGAUCUGGCGUUGCCGUGAGCUGUGGCGUAGGUCGCAGAUGCGGCUCAGGCCCUGCAUUGCUGUGGCUGGGGUGCAGGCCAACAGCUGUGGCUCCAAUUCACCCCCUAGCCUGGGAACCUCCAUAUGCUGUGGGUGCAGCCCUAGAAAAGACAAAAAAAAUUGUUGGGCUUUGUUUUGUGGUCUAAGAUCCUGUCUAUCCUGUAGAAUGUUCCAUGAGCACCUGGCGAUGCUGAUGAUGUCUUUUAAAUAGAUUCAGGCGUUCCUGUCGUGGCAAAAAAAAAGAAAAUUGAAUGAUGGAAUGAAGAAGAUGUACCUGUUACUUGUAGAAUCCUUCAGAUUAAAACAAGGAGAGGAGUUCCGGUUGUGGUGCAGCGGAAAUGAAUCUGACCAGGAACCAUGAAGUCGCAGGUUUGAUCCCUGGCUUCGUUCAGUGGAUUAAGGAUCUGGCAUUGCCGUGAGCUGUGGUGUAGGUCGCAGACUCAGCUCAGGUGUGGGCUGGCAGCUGUAGCUCCUAGGAGACCCCUGGCCUGGGAACGUCCAUGUGCUGCAGGCGCGGCCCUGAAAAGCAAAACAAAUAAAUAAAUAGGUUCAGCUGCGU